CAUUAGAAUUAAAAUAAGAAUUCCACGGAAUUACAAAGUUUUAAGGAUAGUAUGAUAAUUUUGUAUUACCAUGGUUGAUUGAUUACCUUAUGCUGUCCGUUUACCCUUAUUUUUCAUUUCUAUUAUAAAUUUCUUUAUUUCUUGUCCUUUUCUUUUCUUUUUGUCUCUCUUCCCUCCCUCCCGCAUCCUCUCUCCCUCUUCUCUUAGCGAGCCGACGACUGCCGACGCAACAUCUCCGUCGUUCACCGGUCACCAACGCCUGUCAAACUACACAUCCAGAAUGCUCUUGCCGUCCUUUAUCCAAUCCCCAAGUUAAUUUCUAUAAAUUCAUAGGCGAUUUUCCUCAAUUUCUAAUUUAAUAAACGGUGACCCAGGGUUUUCCAUCCAACUUCCGGCCAAUAUCGCCGGAAUUGGACCUCGACCCAAGAGGUAGAAAUGAUCCUCUUCUCGUGGGCUGUUCUCCAAUAACCUGUGUUUUGUUUGGGGUAAACGUGCUACAGAAUACAUAUCUUCAGUGAACGUUGCUUGAGGUGUGAGUGGACAAAUUAUCUCUUGAAGGUGCUUCAACUUACCUUUUUGGUAGACAAGGCUCCUCAAGGUAGAGCUAGCCAGAGGUGUGAGUUGACAUUUAUUUCAGAAUUUUUUUCUUUGUCAAAUAUUAAGCAUGCAUAGAUAAAUAUGAUUUCCGUUAUGGUUUUUA